UUUCAGAGCAGGCCCUUAUUACAUGAUUCUGAUACCGUUGUUCCCUAUUUCAUAAAUUCUUUCCUUUCAUAACCAUCACCAACCGCUCCAAGGGGACUUGGCGCUUAAUGGACAAGACACGCCUACUUCCGAAGGCGCAUACCUGGGAACUGAUGGCGUACUUCAGGACGCUGACGUCAUCGCACGGACCUGCAGUAUCUUGGCUCCUGGCGUCUGUAUCAAGACUAGAAGUUCAGAAUUUUUCUUGUAUUAUUUCUUGUACCACUUUGACAGGCUGGUAGAUGCCAUAAACUGUAACAACGUUUUUAAAUGCAUGAAAUAAAAUGCGUAAGACUACAAAGGAAAUCAAUUCUACCAAAAUGCAAUUAAAAUUUUAAAAAAGCAAAUCUUGA